rnacentral:rRNA from 1 species
UACGAACUGUGCAAACGUUAUUCGGAAUCACUGGGCUUAAAGGGUGCGUAGGCGGCUCGUUAGGUAGGGUGUGAAAGCCCCCGGCUCAACCGGGGAAUUGCGCCCUAAACCGGCGGGCUGGAGUGAGAUAGGGGUGUGUGGAACUUCCGGUGGAGCGGUGAAAUGUGUUGAUAUCGGAAGGAACGCCGGUGGCGAAAGCGACACACUGGGUCUCAACUGACGCUGAGGCACGAAAGCCAGGGGAGCAAACAGG